rnacentral:snRNA from 1 species
UAUAUAUAUAUAUAUAUAUUU